CUCAGACCAAAGAUAUAUAGAAAAUGAAGAACCUUAUGGUAGAAUGAAUGGCCAGUUGAAAUCACAGCAUUCUCGUAGGAUGCCAAGAAGCUUGCAGGCUAAUAGACAAGCAGAGAAAUCCCAUGGGAGUGAUGUUUUGAUGUGGGCACCUGUUAAACCGCUAAACAAGAUAGAGACCUUGGAUGAAUCAAGUGAGAAAAGUAAAACUGAGGCAAUUGUUCCUGCAAAGAGUGAUCAGCAGGUGCAUAGUUUAAAAAAUAAGAGGGCUGAAAUGGAGAGAUAUGUUCCAAAACCUGUUGCAAAAGAAAUGGCUCAGCAAGGAAGUUUACAACAAGUGGUGUCCUCGAUAAGUCAAGUUCCAACAGAUGACUGUGUUGAAAGAGUUGAUUCUGGUCCUCAUGGCCCCCAGAAUACUAGGCAUGCUAUUUCAGGUGUUGGAAAAAUGGGUUCCGUAAUGGAAUCUAAAAAUGGAGAUAGCAGGCAGAGUAGGGCUUGGAAGGGAAAAGCACAUGGAUCAUGGCGGCAAAGGAAUUCAAUAGAAUCAAAUGAUAUGCAUGACAUGCAAGAUGGAGUGAACCAUGGUUCAAAUUCCUGUCAAAAUAUUCAAAUACCAAUGGAGCGUCAGCAAUUGCAUGUGUCUGAAACAAGCUUGUUGAGAGGGCAUUCAAAGCAUGCCAAUGACACUAGUAAACCUGAUGGCAGGGAGAGGCAGGUUCCUUUUAGACGACAGAAGGGCACUGGGGUGAACCAUGAAGUUGAUGAGAAGAAAAAUGCUGGGGACACAGGGAAAACUGAAACAUUGUUAUCAUCGUUUGAGCAAAAUCAACCAGAUCUCAAUGCUGUUUCCAUGGAAAGUCAAAGUACUGGAGAUCGUAUUUCAUCUCAUUGGCAACCCAAAUUUCAGGCAUCAACUAAUAAUCCGAGAGGUAACAGGCCCAAGAGAAAGGAGUCUGCUCAUGCUGCUGCUGGUGUAUCAUUUUCAGAUGGUCAAGACAACGAGUCUGGCACUCUUACAGCACAACCUCCCAGCCAAUCAGUUCCGGAGAAGUCAAAGGGUGGGGAUGCUUCAAAUUUAGGGAAUCCAGGGACUGUAAGAGAGACUAGAAAUGCUCCACCAAAAGGCCGUCCCCACUCCUCGAAUCAGGUAGCUGCUAGCUCAAGUGAGCUGGCUCCACCAGGUAUGGAUUUUAGGCAUCAGCAACGUCCAUCAUCUGGAGGACGCAGAAAUGGAAACCAAAACCGUUUUGGAAAGGGACAUGAAUCUCAGGGAAACUGGGAAACAACUGCCCAAGAUGAGUGGCAUCAUCAUAACCAAUCUGGUAACCGGGAAAGACAAGGUCCAAACUUUCAUAAUCAUCAUGAGUAUCAAACUAAUGGGCCACAUGUUGGUGACAGCAAAUCAGACUACUCUGAACGGCCUGAAGAUGGUAAUUAUCAGGCUGGGGGAAGAUUUAGGGAGAGAAGUCAAACUCACUCAAGACGAGGUGGUGGAAACUUCUCUCGCCGCUAGUUAGAGUGGUGGUUUUGAUUAGAAGCUGUUAAUGAGUAGUGGUUCUACUUCAAGAUGGUUUUUGUGCUCCAUCAGAAGCCCAUAUGUAUUGGUGCUUUGUUCAGUCUUAUUGGGGUAUAUUUAGUGCAGGUUUUGGAUGAUUUGAGUUUUGAAUGGUAAUUGCAGUUGCAUCAGUUAUGUUCUGAUGGUCGGUAGGCAUUGGGCAGGGCUAGGAACAAUGAAGACGAUGCCUCCUUUUUUUGAGGCUGGGGAAAGAAAAAGUUGGAUGGCCGGUGCCCUGUUAUUUAUUAUUCUUCAUAUGUAUCUGAAUGAAAAUAGUAAUUUGAUGGCAUCGCUUUUUGUUUCUAGUUUCAUCAAAACUGCUGUCCAUUGACUCUGUACUUGUUUCUUCCUUUCUAUUUUAUAUAAGCUUAUAUAUUUUUGGUUCCGACAAGGUUUUUGAGUUUAGUUUUUGAAAAAAAUAUUUUUUUUGAUUGCUAACAUAUUCAAAAGUAUUGAGUUUAUGAUGACAUUUUUUAGUAUUUAUUUGUAACCUGUAUAGCUAAAUGAAAUUCAUGUUGUUAUUGUCCCGUGUCUUUUCCCGCCCUUUUAACUCUAGUGUGAGGGGGGGUGAGGUGAGAGGCUAAGGUUCUCUAGUAAGACACAUAUUUGAGUUUAUGGAUUAUAAUUUAUAUAACUUAUAAGUUCAUAUGACUAAAAAAAGGCCUGUUUGGUUAAUGACAUUUUUUCAUGAGCUUAUAACAUUUUUUUUAUGUUAUUUCAAGUAACUUAUAGUUUAAAGCUUAUAGAUUAUCAAUUUUCUUCUUAAUUUUACCCCUGCAAUCUUAAUUGAAAAAAAUAAAUAUUAAUACUUUUUUUAAUGUAAUUUUAUAUUUAUAAGCUACUUUUAACUGCUAAUUUUAUCAAACACUACAAAUUCAUUCAACUAGCUUAUCAACUUGUAAAUCAUCCGUUAUACAAUAGCUUAUCAUAUUUUUUUUUUUUACCAAAUAGUAAAAUUUCAGCGGAAUAGUCACAACAUUCUCUUACGUAAAAUGAGUUCGUGAACUAGCUCUAUGAGAAUUAAGAUAAUUAACUCAACCAUCUCUUUCACACUGAACACCCAAAGUAAGAACAGUUUAUAUCGAUUUUAGCAAUUUGGAUGACUCAUUUUUGUGCAUCAAUUUUUAAUUUUUUAUCGAGACAACUUUUUCAAAAAUAUAAAUUUCAUUAAGAUGGGUUACACAUUCAUAAAUAUUUCUAAACGAAAGAUGAUGUGAAUAUUUAGAGUGAGAGAAUAAAAUUAUUGUACUAUUAUUAAAUUUUAACUAAACUUGGGUGUAGUCGAUUUUUUUGGAGUGUUUGGUAUUUUCAUUAAAUUUUAUUAAUUAAACUUGAGUGCAAUAGAAUUUUUUUAGUGUGGUUAGAAAAAAUUAUGAUCUAUAAAUAUGUAUAUAUAUAUAUUUUUUUUUUUUUGAGGAAAUGAUAUAUUUGUCUUACGAGAUAAAAACAUGAAUCAUAGGUGGAAGAGCAAGUGACUUUUUUUUUAUUGUCAGUGUGUCAGAUUAUUGAACCCAAGUUAAAUAACGAAAUUUCAAUCUAAUAAUUAUAGGGUUUAUUAAGUUUUUGGUCCCUAUAAAUAUCUGCAGUUUUGUUUUUAGUCCCUAUAAAAAUAAAUCAUACUUUUUAGUUCCUACAAAAUUUUCCGUUAGUGUUUUUAGUCCCUGUUAAAUUAAAAUUUGUUUAAUUAUGCUUAAAAUUUUAAUUUUUUAAUGAUUUUUGACAUACUUGUUUAAAACAUUAUAAAAGGUUCCGCCAUAAUAAAUUAGCUCAAAAUUUUAUUUUUAAGUCCAAUUUUUCUUUAGUUUUAUCUUGAAUUUUUGGCGUUUAAAAAAAAUUAUAUUUCAUUCAUUGCAUGUUAAAAAAUUCUAAUUUUUUUAUAAAAGAGAUUAUUAUAAUGUUCUUAACAUGUCUGUUAAAAAUCAUUUAAAAAUAUAAAAGUUUAAGUAUAAUUAAACAAAUUUCAAUUUAAUAGGGACCAACACAUACUUUUAGUCCUUGUAAAAUUAAAAUUUAUUUAAUUGUGCUUAAACUUUUAAAUUUGUAACAUAUUUUUCACAUACUUAUUUAGAAUAUUAUACAAAGUUCCUCCGCAAAAAAGUAACUUAAAAUUUUAUCAUUAGGUCCAAAUUUUCAUUAAUAUAAUCUUGAAAAUUUGGCUUUUAGAAAAAUUCAUAUUUAAUUCAUUACAUGUUAAAAAACUAAAAUUUUUUAUAAAAAAGUGUCUUACGAUGUUAUGAACAUGUAUGUAAAAAAUCUUCAAAAAUUUAGAAGUUUAAGCAUAAUUAAACAAAUUUUAAUUUAACAGGGACUAAAAACACUAACAGAAAAUUUUGUAGAGACUAAAAAGUGUGAUUUAUUUUUAUAGAGAUUAAAAACAAAACGGCAGAUAUUUAUAAGACCAAAAACUUAAUUAACCCAUAAUUAUAUAAGGUAGCGAGCAAGUGAAUAAGUGGUAUGUGCAAUAACAUUUUUUCAUUCAUAUUCACAUUCACACGCAAGUUUUGAACUAGUUCUUUCUACUGUUCUAGGUUAAGCUCUCUUCAAUCUCUACGAUUCCAAAUCCAAACGUUGCCGUUAUCCAAAACACUACUCUCGUAGAUCUCUCUCUCUCAAAACUCACAUUCCCCAAGCUCGUUUCUUCCUUUUUCUCUUCAAUCGCUUCGCUAGGGUUUCUACAAACCACUUCUCUUUCUCCUCAUUUUACCCAAGGUUUUUCUCCUUAAAAAAAUAUCAAUAACCGUGCAUUCUAAUUCAAUUGCAAACCAUGUUUAACAACUUGUUAAUUUGUUAAUUUUCCAUUCGGACCCGGCUUAACACUCUGAACGUGUUGUCUUAUGCAUGUGAUUGUUUGUUAAAUCCACAUUUCUGAAAAUGGUUAGGUUUGAUGAGCUUGCUGUAGCACGUGCUAAUGUGUUGUGAGCAUGAAAAUGUCCUUAAUUUUGAUUGUAGAUAAGUGCUUAGAAUUUUAAGAUAGUAGAGAAAGUUAUGUUAGUGGCAAAUGUUAUGUUAUAAUUCCAAAUGUAUGCAUAAAUAGUUGCAAUAUCUCACCGUCUCUUUGUCAUCAGGCCGUUAAAUUGGAUUGAAUGACCGCUUGGAGACAACCAGAGGACAACUUCAAGCAUGUUGAACGGGGAGAGAAGGUAUUUUGGACUUGUGUGCAUUUGAAGCCACUAAAAAUGGGCUAGUAAUGUGGGAUUUGGGCAUUCAAAAGCUAAUUUGGGCUUUGUUAUGCAUAUAAUGUUGUGAUAUGUCCUUGUAGAAAACAAACUAUUUUUAAUGUGUUAUGAUUCUGAUGCUAACCGCUUGGUUCCUAAAUUGAGGAGGUUUCAAAUUUUGAUGUCUCCUUUAUGUGCACAUGAAUGCCUUUGCAUUAAUCUAAUGAUGAUAAUAUUGCACAGGUGGGCCUCUUCCACCAGAAGAGGUGGUAUGACCGUGUUGGGGAAAGUUGCUGUUCCAAAACCUAUAAAUUUACCUAGUCAGAGGUAUUUGAUUUCUAGCUGAACUAUUUACCUUCUCCGUUGACUAAUAUGGUUGGCUCAUGAUAUAAACAUGUUUAUUUUCUUUUGUUUUAAGGCUAGAAAAUCAUGGUCUGGACCCAAAUGUGGAGAUUGUACUCAAGUGCAAGUGGGUAGAUAUUUUAUUAAUCUGGCUAGUAAGUCGUUUUCUGCUGCCUUUUGUCAUCUAGACUGGGUAAUUGAUUCUUGUGUUGUCUUAUGUUAGGGGUUCCCUCAGCUGGGGAAGUAAAUCACCAUCUUCGGCAUUAAAUGCAUGGGGUUCUUCUGUAUCUCCAAGUGCCAGUGGUGGGACUAGUUCACCAAGUCAACUAAGUGCCCGUCCAUCAUCUGGUGGAAGUGGAACCCGGCCUUCAACUUCUGGUAGUGACAGGGCUUCUGAGCUAACUAGUAGAGCAUGGGGGUCAAACUCUCGGCCUUCAUCAUCAUCUGGUGUACCAACAUCAAGUCAGACUUCUCAGGCACCAUUGCGUCCUCGCAGUGCUGAAACAAGACCUGGUAGUUCAGAAUUAUCUCGAUUUGCUGAACAUGUGACUGAAAAUUCAGUGGCUCAGAAUGUUGCUAGAACUACAGAAAAACUGGUAGGCUUCUGUUCUUUUUUGCAGUUGAGGCUUAUGAUACUAUCAUCGGUCACUUUAUACAAUGCUUUUCUUGUGAUAUAUGGUAUUAAUAAUUUUUUUUUAUUAAUUUAACCAAUGUUUUAGAUGUUGCAUGGACAAUGACAAUAAUUGACGUGGGAGUUAUUCUGUAGUGAAUAAUUUUCUAUUUUAUAGAAUCUACCUUACUAUGGUUUAGGAACGAUACAUAGUUUAAGAUGUUGCAUGGACAAUGACAACAAUUGACGUGAGAGUUUUAUUUAUAGAAUCUACCUUACCAUGGUUUAGGAACGAUACAUAGUUUAAGAUGUUGCAUGGACAAUGACAACAAUUGACGUGAGAGUUUAUUCUUCUGUAGCCAAUAAUUUUCUAUUUUAUAGAAUCUACCUUACUAUGGUUUAGGAACAAUACAUAGGUUGUCACUGGGCAUAGUUUCUAGGGUAAGAUUAAUGGAAGUGUUAGAAUAUCUAAAAAAAUAUGUCAGAACUUUUUUAUUGUAUUUUAAAGCUAUUUUAAAAUAUAUUGGAUGGUUGUUUUGGACAGAACACAUUAGUGAUGUUUAAUUCGUAUGGCUUACACCAUUUAGUGGGAAAAGGGCUUUGGUUGUGCUUGUUGUAUUCGACAUUCAACUCAAAAUUGAGUUGACAAUCGUGGCAUUACUGCUCUGCAGCAUGUUUCAUGACCUCUGUGACAUGCAGAGGCAGCAGUGCGUCACAUUUUGACGGUGACAUGUCCAUCACACUACAUGGAUGAAGAUCCCACUUUGCCCUUCUUUAUGUUUUCCUCUUCUAGGAAAAUCGACUGUCCUCCUGCCUACUCCCACCUCUCUUUUCUACUUUCAGCAGCCCACCCGUUUUCUUGUGAUUUUCCAACGAGUCAGUGGUUUUCUGGCCAAGUCCUAUCUUCUUCACAUGUUUUUUUCCCCCAAUCCUGGCAUUUUCCAGCAACUUUACCCCUCUGCCACAGCUGUUCUUUAUUGAUUCGGUUCCACUCUUUUCGCCCUUGUUCACAGGUCUCAACACAUUUUUUAUUCUGUUUUUUCCUUAUUUUUAUUUUCAUUUCUUUUGGCUGUGAUGUGUAUUUACUACUUACCACCUCACAGUUAACAGCAUGCUAAUUUUGAUCUCACAAGUUUAUUCAUAUUGAUAACUUUUUUAAUUGAUUGCAUCAUCUUUUUAAAAAUAAAAAACUUCCUUCUAUGGUGUAUUCUGUUUUUGAUAAAAUUUUGUGUUCAUAUGUUUGGUUAAUAAAUUAUUAGUUAGUUAUGUAUCCAUAAUCUUUGGGAUAUUAGCGGGAAACUUUGUCAAAGAUUGGAAACCAAUCCAUAUAAUAUAUCGUGGAAACAUUCAGUUGUCUAACUGAGAAAGUAAUCUUCGGAGUUGUUUCUAGAUUUUAUUCUAUUCCCUGCUUUAUUUCCUUAUGUAACUUUGGUUAGUAGUCAUAGGCUGCAUUUGUUUCAAAACUUUUCAUGAUUUAUUUAUUGAAAUAAUUUCCCUUGUAAUACCAUGAUGCGAGUACUAUUAUUGGGCACCUUUUAAAAUGUAUUUGGCUAACAUGUAUAACAUCCCCAAGAGUAAUAAAUAAAAGCGGGAUGUUGAGGUAGUUAUAAUAAGAAUUUUAAUAAAAUAUUAAUAUAAAACUUCAUUCCUUCCCACUGGAAUAUAAUUUCCCAACCACUUAGGAAUAAAUUUUUAACCCUGUAACAAACAUAGGUAUACACAGGAAUGGAUCCUCUCAAUUUCCCAAUUUUCAUCCUUAAAUCUCCUCUUUUUAUUUCAUUGAAAAUCCUCUUCCUCUCUCCUUUUCAAUGGAAGGUGAGAACUUCAAUGGACCCUCGUGUCAAAUGAGAGGAUCCAGUGCCAAUUUCAGUGGGCUAGUUUGGCUUCUUAAAAAAAAUAAAAACGAGGAUCCAUUCCCGAAAUAUGCAUUUCCUACCUAUAUAUUCCUGGAACAUGUUUUCUAAAUUAUUUGACAAACACAUCCUUAUUUUAGCGGAUUUGGAGUUGUACUAGUAAAAGUAAUGCUACAGUAGUAUUUAACCUUGUUAUUUGUAAAAAUAAGUUGAGUCAUCAACUCUUUCCAAAUUUGUUUGAAAUCCAUGUGUUGUAAUUAUUUGAAGUGAUGUUAUCAAAGCUGAUUUUUCAUUUGUGUCUGAUAUGUACUACUUUCCUAAUGUAGGGAAUAACACAACGCAAGAAUGAUCAUUUUUCUUUGAGCUCUGGAGAUUUUCCUACUCUUGGUUCUGAGAAGGAAGAGUCUGUACAUAAUUUUGAGUUGCAAGGUAGCAUACUAUGCAUAACUAUUAUCAGUACUAAAGUUAUUAUGGUUUUAUAUUGAUUAACAGUUUUACAUUGAAAAUAGUGCUGAAUUCUUCGAUCUUAGUCUACAUUUAUAUUUUGUUAAUUUUCACAACAUUGAUAAUAGUGUUUAUUUACUUUUCUUAAUUAUCUGGUGCCAUGCCCCGUCUCCUCUCAAUUUUCCCCUGGAGUUCUUCUCAGUAGUUGUUAUGCACCCAGAAGGUUAAAGGUUUUUUUAUUAGAAAUAUCAUUUAUGCCCACUGUCUGCCAUGUUCGGGUUUGAGGGGAGUUUUAGCGGUGUUCUUUUUCCGUGUUAGACAUGCAGAAAGAUUGACAUACUCUAUUACAUGACUUGCUCUCUUAGUUUCUAGGUGUUUUCAUUUGCCAUUUUUUUUGUGAGGCGGUCUUAUCGUCUAGAUUUACUAUUCUUUCCUUAAUAACUUUUUUUAAUAAAAAGGAAAAAGUUUAUGGGCGGCAAAGUAACGGAUCGCCAAAACUCCACUACUAUUCUUCAAACAGUCGAAAAAUGUAAGGACAAAAUAUAUUUAACCCUUUUUUAUUUACACACAUUUUUUUUACUAAUGUAUUAUUUAAGUUUUUAGUCCCUAUAAAUAUUCACAGUUUUGUUUUUAGUCCCUACAAAAUAAAAUCACACUUUUUAGUCCCUGUGACAUUUACCUUAAGCAUUUUAGGGACUAAAAAUGUUGAUGGAAAAUUUUUAUAGGGACUAAAAAUGCUGAUGGAAAAUUUUAUAGGGACUAAAAAGUGUGAUUUUAUUUUGUAGGGACUAAACAAAAUUCUGAAUAUUUAUAGGCACCAUUUAUUUAAUUAACCCUUUAUUUUUUAAUAUUUUAAUUUAUGGUUAAAUGUUUUUCAUCCUUAUAAAUAUUCCAAAUUUUGGUUUUAGUCCCCAAAAAAAUUUCUUCGACUUUUAAUCAUCCAAUUUUUUUUUCCACCCAUAGCUUUUAUGAAUCUAAAAAAUAUAAGCAAGGUGGCAAAAAAAAUGUGAGUAAGAAUAUACAAAAUCACACUUUUUAGUCCCUGUGACAUUUACCUUAAGCAUUUUAGGGACUAAAAAUGUUGAUGGAAAAUUUUUAUAGGGACUAAAAAUGCUGAUGGAAAAUUUUAUAGGGACUAAAAAUGUUGAUGGAAAAUUUUAUAGGGACUAAAAAGUGUGAUUUUAUUUUGUAGGGACUAAAAACAAAAUUCUGAAUAUUUAUAGGCACCAUUUAUUUAAUUAACCCUUUAUUUUUUAAUAUUUUAAUUUAUGGUUAAAUGUUUUUCAUCCUUAUAAAUAUUCCAAAUUUUGGUUUUAGUCCCCAAAAAAAUUUCUUCGACUUUUAAUCAUCCAAUUUUUUUUUCCACCCAUAGCUUUUAUGAAUCUAAAAAAUAUAAGCAAGGUGGCAAAAAAAAUGUGAGUAAGAAUAUACAAAAUGUUACAACGUCCAUUAGGCUAGUUAUAACCAAAUAUAAAGCGUUUCUUUAAAAAAAAAGAAAGUAUAAAGCGUUCCUUAAGGGGACGUUUGUUUGAGGGUUACAUAAUUUAUUCCUAGGUUUUAACUUCCCCAGGAAUUUAAAGGUUAAAUUUUUUUCCCAGGAACAUCUAGAAAAAAGUUUUUGGUUAAUUGUUUAAUUCCUGGUAACUUUUUUAAAAAUAAUUCCAGGUUACAAGUAAAAUAUGUUUGGUUUGCGAUGUAGAAACCUAGUAAUCGAUAUUAUAAUUACACAAAUGCCCCCAUUGUAUAAACCAUAGAAACAUCGUGUGUUAGACAAAGUGAUCCUUCUUUACACUCUGGUAGAUAUGAACAUGGGUAGUUGUUUUAUUAAAAAAUAAUUGAAUUAAUUUAAUAGGGUUAAAAUUGGAAGAAAAUAGGAAAAGCUAUAAGCUCAAAAGCUACUUGAAAUAGCAUCUCAAAAAACAUUAUAAGUUAGUGAGAAAAGCUAUUUACCAAACACGUCUUAUUCUAUCAAAACAAGCUUAUAAGCUAGUCCAAUAAGCUAUAAGCUAGCUUAUGUGUGUUACCAAACACAGCCAAAGCAUUAACGGAAAUCUCAAUAGUUCAAAACAACUAAUAACUUGUAGUUCUAACCAGUGAUAAAAGAUAAAAAAGAUCUAAUUAUUCUCCUCUUCCCCAACAUAAUCAUUAUCCUCAUUUUCAGUUAGUUAGGCAUCUCCUUCAACUUCAAUUGAAUUCUCAGAAUCAAUAGCAGAGGCUUUUUGCAUAUCGGUGAUAGCGGUUAUGGCUUACAUAGUGGAAGAUUAUCUUUUUAAAAUAUCAAAAAUAAAAUAAUGUUGAGCAAGUGAUGAGUUUGGGUCUCAUUUAAAUGAUAAUCUUCCACUAUGUAAGCCAUAACCGCUAUCACCGAUAUGCAAAAAGCCUCUGCUAUUGCAGUGGUAGUGGAAUCGUAAUAGCGUAUCAGCUUUCGUGAUGGUUGCUCAAAAUCCCGAUGUGUAAUAGUGGUAUAGCGGCGCUAUUCCGGUUAUAUACAUGUCAGUGUAGUACUAUAAGUCUGGAAUUUAGAAUUUACUUUUUCUUUAUCAAUUCAGGUUUCGACUAUAUUUUGCCCAAGUGUUUUUGCUGCUAUGUUCUUUAGUUUUGUAUGGCAUAAAUUUUGAAACGGUUGAGAUUUAAACUAUUAUAUGCUGCUGUGGCUUUAUGAUGUUAAGGAAUAUAUUUGCUGAGAUCUAAAUUAGUGACUUUAGAAAUUGUUGAGAUUUUAUUUAUCGUUUGUUGUGAAAAACUUACGUACCGAUGGCAGACCACAGUUCUCAUAUGCGCCCUGGCUCUUCUGCUGUACUUGGGAACAAGAAAAAUGAGACCUCAAUUGUUGGUUUGUCUUCAUGAUCUUGCUGUUAUAUUAAUAUGUUGGUUUAGUUAUGAUUCUUCCUAUUUCUGCUUCUAGGAUUUUGUGAUUUAUCAUCGAUUGUCAUGAUUUUAUGUUGCUGGUGUUACAGAUGAUGUUUCUAUUCGUGCAAAUGAGAAGGGUGAAACCGAAAAUUCUUGGAGAAGAGACUAUCAGGCUUUCAAUGAAGAUGGUAUGAGGCCAGGAAUAGAGAAAUGGCAGGGGAAUCUACAUCACUAUCCUAAUGCUGGUAUUCUUCCUCAGCAUUUUGAUGUUUGGCGUGGUGCUCCAGUAAAUAGCCAUCAAGGUGAUAUUUGGUUCAGAGGUCCUCCUAAUGGUUCUCCAUUUGGAGUUCCUGUUGCUCCGGGUGGCUUCCCAAUUGAACCAUUUCCAUUUUAUCGUCCACAUAUUCCACUUACUGGUCUUGCCAAUCCACUUCAAGUUCCCUCUCCUGGAAGUGGUCCAACAGGGCAGCAUAAGAAUGGAGAAGUCUAUAUGCCCCAUAUGCCUGAUGCUUACAUUCCUCCGGGUAUGCCAUUGAGACCUGGUUUCUAUCCUGGACCUAUGGCCUAUGAAGGAUACUAUGGACCUCCAAUGGGCUAUUGUACUUCUAAUGAACGAGGUGUUCCUUUCAUGGGAAUGGCAACUGGACCCUCUGUUCAGAAUAGGAACCCAAGUCAUAAUCCACCUGAGCCUGGCAAUUCACACGGUCGAUCUGGUGGACAUGGACCUGCAGGAAAACCAUUGGCAUCAGAGCCAGUAGAAUCCAGUCAUACCCCUGAUGCCGCCAGACCAUAUAGAGUUCUUCUUAAGAAACAUAACAAGUUGGAUGAAAAAAAUGAACCAACAAACUUGGAGGACUCGUUAACAACGAAUCCUUCAUAUGCCAAUGUGAGGGACCAACCAAUAAUUCCUGUCCCGGAUAAUGAUUGCAGAAGGAACAUGGAUAUGGAUUUAAGGAUGACAAGUGCUUGUGGCAAAGAAUCUUCUUCUCAAACUUUGGGAAAUCAAGGAUCUAUUUCUGUCAAUAAUGCCAAGUCUCUUGAAAGCAUAGGAAACUUAAAUAAAUUUGAUAAUUUUUCGGAAAGGAAAAUGGAUGGUGUAGCUUCUAAUACACUAGGAAUUGCCUCAAGACCGUCUGCCCAUUCCAUUCUGAUUCAGAAGAUAGAGGCUUUAAAUGCAAAAGCCAGGGAUAACUCUUCUACUAAAAAUAAAGAGGAGAGGAGGAAUAAGUUUCACACUGGUGGCCAUGCGGGAAAUGAAGCUCGUGCCGGUGUUGCGUCUCCUGAGACAAGUCUUGUCACUGAAGUUAAAAAUCCAACUGCUCGUGGAGUGGGUGCUUUUGGAGGCGAAAAGAAUUUUGAAUCAUCAUCUCUCAGUAGAACAGCUACAUCCAGGUUGGCCAUAACUUCUUGAUAUCAACUGCUCUAAUUGUUGUUCAUUUAUCAUGGUGAAAGUAUUGAAAUGCUCUUGCACAGGCAAAUUUCUCAUGGCAUGCAAGCCAGAAGCAAUCAUCAGAAGCGAAGGCUCGAUACUCAAGAUGCUGAUGGUGGGCGAAAGAGAUCUGGCGUCUUAGAUUCUUCAACUUUAUCAGGUACACAGUUGGAAACAUCCAACUUUCUUGUUGGCGAGCAUCAGAUAUCUGUUGAUGCCUAUGAAAGGUCUGGGUACUAUAGCCACAUGAGGCGCGAAAGAGAAGCUAGACAAACCUUAUCUGAUUCAGCUGAUAGCCGUGAACAGGUAAUGCAUACACCAUUUUUGUACUUACUACUUGUUAUGCUUGCAUUUAACUCUGCCACAAUUUUAAAAUCUUCAGCGUGUCAAAACAAAAGUGUUGUCCAAGCAACAGAGUAAGCAACUGCAGGUGGAUGAGGAGGCUCGGACUAAAAAUCAAAUUGCUAAAUCAUUAGUGAGGUCAGAGGAGGGAAAGAUGUUGUUCAAGCAACAGACUAAGCAACUGCAGGUGGAUGAAGAGGAGCGGAUUAAAAAGCAAAAGGCUAAAUCUCUAGUGAGGUCAGAGGAGGGACGCAGUCGCGCGGAAGCAGUGGAAGGGUCAAUGCAGAAAGUGUAUGCUGCUAAUUCUCCCCUACAGAAUAAGCAAGAAGAAUUUCAACCAUCUGAAUCAGCAGCAGCAUUGGGAAAAUCAGGGGCAGCUAAUUCUUCUGAAAUGCCUGAUGCCAGUGAUGCUUUACAGGCUCAAAACAAUGUUGUCUCAAAGCAGAGAAGAAGUUAUAAACAAAAGCAUAAUCGUUCUCUAAGUAAGACUUCAAAUGUUUCCACCACCUCAGCUGCCCCGGAAGCUGAGAAUGACACUAUGGCUUAUGUUAAUGUAUCUUCCAGCAUUGUUACCAAUGACGUAAGUUCGUCCUUUGUCCCAGGCUUACCCUUGAAUUUAACUUCUAUGGUCGAGUCAUCUGUAAACCAGAAAAGGAAGAAUAACAGGAAUAGGAAAAACAAACAGAAAGUUGAAAAGAUUUCAUCCUUGGCUGCAUCACCAACUGCAAGCUCUGUUGAAAAUAAACCCAGGGAAGACAGAGAGUUAGAUCAGGGCUCACUUCAGUCAUCAUCCUUGUCUAAAGAUUCAAACCAGUAUUCAGAGCAAAAAUAUUCAGAAAAUGAAGAAUUCUAUAGUAGAAAGAAUAACCUGUUGAAAUCACAGCAUUCUCGUAGGAUGCCAAGAAACAUGCAGGUUAAUAGACGAGCAGAGAAAUUCCAUGGGAGUGGAGCUUUGGUGUGGGCACCUGUUAAACCACCGAACAAGAUAGAGAUCUUGGAUGAAUCAAGUGAGAAAAGUAAAAUUGAGGCAAUUGUUCCUACAAAGAGUGAUCAGCAGGUGCUUAAUUUAAAAAAUAAGAGGGCUGAAAUGGAGCGAUAUGUUCCAAAACCUGUUG
rnacentral:lncRNA from 1 species